AAGGAAUACACACUGCUCUACUGUUGAUCAUAAAGAAUAUAUUCCUUCCAUCUACCUGUAUGUUUCUACCCAUUAAACAACCCCUCUUCAGCAUUAUCCAUCUUCUCUCCUCUGGUUUUCCUUAAAAGGAAACCUUGCCAUUAUGUGGAACUGAUCUUACCCUCAGCUUCAGCAGAGAACUUCAAUUGGCUUAAAAUAUCAGUGCAUCUACUGCCUUGAAAACAAAAAAUCAUUUAGAAAUAGUAUAAAUCUUGGGAGGCCAAGGUGGGCGGAUCACGAAGUCAAGAGAUGGAGACCACCUUGGCCAACAUGGUAAAACCCAGUCUCUACUAAAAAUACAAAAAUUAGCCAAGUGUGGUGGCUGGCGCCUGUAGUCCCAGCUACUCAGGUGGCUGAGGCAGGAGAAUUGCUUGAGCCCGGGAGGCGGAGGUUGCAGUGAGCUGAGAUCGCACCACUGCACUCCAGCCUGGGCGACAGAGCGAGACUCUGUCUCAAAAAAAAAAAAAAAAAAAAAAAAAGGUACAAAUCAAGGCCAGGCCCAAGUGUCUCACGCCUGCUGUAAUCCCAGUACUUUGGGAGGCAGGUGGAUCACGAGGUCAAGAGAUCACGACCAUCCUGGCCAACAUGGUGAAACCUCGUCUCUACUAAAAAUACAAAAAUUAGCUAGACCUGAUGGUGCACAGUGGCGAGCACCUAUAGUCCCAGCUACUCAGGAGGCUUAGGCAGGAGAAUCGCUUGCACCUGGUAGGUAGAGGUUGCAGUGAGCCAAGAUCACGGCACUGCACUCCAGCCUGGUGACAGAACAAGACUCCACCUCCAAAAACAAAUAAAUAAAUAGAAAUGGUACAAAUCAGAAUCUGCUGGGUGAAGUGGCUGGUGGUUCAUGCCUGUAAUCCCACUGUGGGAGGCCGUGGUAGGCAGAUCACCUGAGGUCAGGAGUUCAAGAGCAGCCUGGCCAACAUGCAAAACCCCUUCUCUACUAAAAAUACAAAAAAAUUACCAGGGCGUGGUGGUGGUGUGCCUGUAAUCUCAGCUACUCAGCAGGCAGAGGCAGGAGAAUCGUUUGAACCCAGAGGGUUGAGGUUACAGUGAGGUGAGAUCACACCACUGCACUCCAGCCUGGGUGACAGAGUGAGACUCCAUCUCAAAUAAUAAUAAUAAUAAUAAUAAUAAUAAUAAUAAUUCAAAUUAAUUAAUUAAACGGUACAAAUCGAUUGAGACCAGAGAGAAGGUGAACUUCAAGACUUGUGCAGAGCCUACCAAAAGAGACUUUCUCUACUCUUGGACAAUAUACUGUGAAAGUAUGAGGGCUAGAAUGCUCCUUGGCUACAAAACAUUUACUACCACAUAGGAAGAGUGUAGAGUUGCUGGUGGGAUGGAGAUCAUCAUGUAGUUUUUCAGGAUGAAGUCAACACCGUGGGAAAGUAGCGGGAAACUAGAGAAACCAGAGAUGGUGGUGUCACUGGUCCUCCAUGUCAAACUUGAAUCUGAAUUUUCUUUUUUUAAGUCAACACAUUCCUUGCUUGUUUUUUCAUUUAUUUGUAUUAGUCAGUUUGAGUUGGGUUUUUUGGCACUUCCCAAACAAAUUACCUUAGCUGUUAUAUUUUUCUAAUAUAUGCCUUAAGUACUGAGAUAGGAAACCUAGAAAAAAUGUAUUCAGAAAUCUAAGCAGGCUAGUAGUCAUCAAGAUCUGACUACUGGUAUCAGGGUCCCAUUCCUCAGACUGAGCAGGACCAGAAAAGAUGAAAGCAAGUAAAGGAGUCAGGCAAAAACAUAACAUUGUCUUAGUCCUAGAAAGAAACAGAGAAACAAGACUACCCAUUACUAAAAAAGGAAAUAAUGCAGUCCUAGUAAUUCUUAAGUCAGAAACUUCUAGUAUAGGGACUUCAUUAAGAAGAAAUUGCAUCAGUAAAGUCUGGAAAACAGCUAUGUCUCAGGAAUCCAUGUAUGAUCAGAGGAGAGGGGAAUUAUAACAGAUAAGGGUUGAAGUAGCUGCAUCCGAAGACUUAACAUCAAAGUCUUACCUGGAAGGAUGGUUUAACAAUAAAUAUUAUUGAAUGUUUAUUAGUAAAUGCUUUUGAUUCUUAAUAGGAUCAGGGUAGGAUUAAGCUGGCAUUUCUUGGGGAAAAGGGAAAGGUCAGGAAGCUUCUAAAAGUCUCUUUUUUUGUAUAAUAUAAAAGAAUACCAUAUUUAGAAAGUGUAAUUGAAAAAGUAAAGAUAGUUGGAUGAAAAAGAAGAUAAUGGCAAUAGCUAUGGAUAAGAGUUGUAGCAGGAUAUCAUUUCCCCCUCCCUCCCUGACAACAUACUCUAAGGUAUAUUCCCCCUCCCUCCCUGACAACAUACUCAUUAUAUUUUCCUUAAGAACAGAAACUUUACCCUACCUUGAGCAUAGGACAGUCCUAAGAAACACACACUGAAUAAUGCAUCUUUUACUUUUAUUUCUGAAACUUAAGGCAAAUGCCAUACAGCUUCUAGUGGAAUUUAUUUUUUCUGGUAUAUUCAACAUUCCCUGAAUAAAAACAAUUUCUAAAAGAACCACAAUUUAUUCUUACAAAGCAUUCAAGCAUAUAUAAAAAAUUAGAUAUGAGAAUUUUAUUAAAGAUCAGAACACUCAAACCUAUUUUUUUUAUAAAUAAUUACAAAAAAGUAACUUGUUUUAUUGUUUUGCCAUUAUAAAAUGGCAAUAGAUAUCAUUUUAGGGUAUUUUUCCUCUAAUUCUAUGUUUGGAUUUAUCUAUAGUUAGAUAACUUAAGCUUUUCAUAAUAAACUAAAUUAAUAUUUAUCCAACUACUAUAUGAUAAACUUUAAGGAUUUGGGGAUUUUUAUUCCAUCAAUUCUCUAUAUGUUUAGAAAUUCUUAAUGAAAAGGCAGUACACUUUCCAACGUUGAUGUGCUAGAAAUAAUGCAUCUGCUCUAUAAAUAACUUACCUAAUUGGUGAAGACUUCUGGGAAGAAGUGUGUGCAUAGGAAGGAUUGGAUGGGUUAAGGGAAAAAGUUACCUGUCUAUAGAGAGAGUGACAUGUAAUUUCAGGCCCUUAGUAGUGUCCAAUAAAAGUAUAUCUUAAGAGAGUAUAAAGAUUAAUUUAGGACUCAGUGGAAAAAAAUAACUUGCUCAAAGUGACACAGCAAGUUAGUGACAGACAAGAAAUACAGGAGGUAAGAAAAAAGACUCUUCAGAAUCCCAGCAUGCAUACCAGUGAAACAUUCUGUAAGUAUUUAAAGAGAUCAUAUGAAGUAAAAUGAGUUGUAGCUGAUAAACAGAGAUGAACUAUCCCAUAACUCCACCAAUUUAGCAUUCCAGAGCAAAACUAAAUGGUCAUGUUGCCUUCAGGUAAACACAUCUAAUAACUGGUAAAUUGACAGCAGUUUAAUACGUAUGUCCCAUAAAGCCUACACAAUAGCUACUAAACAUCUCUAUAAAGGAACCUCUAGAUAGACUGGCUUUAAUACUGUUCUUGGCCACUAAUCAUAGGAUAAAACUACAUAUAAAUUUUCUUUCUAAAGCUUUGCAUUUUAAAAAUAAAAACUGUCACAAUAAAUAUAUUUUAAAAGUUAUACGCUAUGUGUAGUGUGACAUAAAUUCCCUAGAUUUCAAUUCAGAUACUUGAAGUUACUCUUGAGUUUAUUCAAUCAUGAGUUUAUUCACAGCGUACAACAGACUAUUUUAUCAGGUAACAUAGAGCAAAAUAUGUGCAAGUUGAUGACAUUUUAGGAAGAUAUAUAGAGACGGCACAAAUAUUUUGAAGUAAAGUGAAAUCAUUGUAGGUUGCUACCUAAACACUAGAUCUACAGGAGUUAAAAAGUGGCUGGAUGCAGACUUACUGCAUUUUAUUCUCUCAUGUUUAUGUAAGGAAAAACUGAGAAAAUGCAGUGCUUUGGGAAGCUUUGUUCAGCAGUCGAAUCAUGAAAACAUGUGAGAAAGAAAGAAACCCGAUGAUUUUCAGCCAAAUCCUAUGACUUCGCAAAUUUAUAUGCUGAUCACGCUUCUUUUUCUUUUAUAUCGCUUAUUUUUGCUUUCCUUUUUACUUUAUAGCAUUGAAUUUGCUGCAUGGUCUUUUUAUAUUUAAAUAUAUUAUAAACUUCCAAGCCCAAUAUAUCUUAAAUUGAAACCAAAGAACAAAAGUGAGACCUCACCACCACCGCACACCAAAUUAUUGCUCUCAUUCAACUUAGAAUAUGCUCAAAUAUAUUGGAGAACUCAACAGCAAGUACCACUACUGAAAAAAAUUAAAAUUUAAAUACAUAGUUGUUUCAUAACAAGAAUACAAUGACCUCAAAUUUAAAAGUAAUUCUCAUCUAGUAUUAAAAUAUCUCUUUUUAAAUAUCAAAGCUGUCAGGAGUAGAACAACUGUCCUGCUCCCUAAUAUUUAGUAAGUAGCAUGUUAAACAGUAUAAACAUGGACCUAUAGGUAGGGGUGUGUGUGUGUGUGUGUGUGUGUGUGUGUGUGUGUCUAUACAAUAUGCCUAGGCAAAGAAGAGAGAACGAAAAUGAAAAAUAGUACAUUAGACACUAAAUAGCUUUAUAAUUUAUGAUCAAUUCAACAAAGGGAAAUACUCUAAAUCAAAUGAGCAUACUAUGUUUUUUAAAUAUUCUCAAUGUAAGUAACUUUUUAAAGACAUGCCUUAAAAGCAGAAAUAAGAAGUAUCACUUAACUUUGUCAUUUCUGAUCUUAGAAAUGUUUGCCAAGCAAUGAUCAUAAAUAAUUUAAUAUAUCUGUGUUGUCAGACUAGGACAUUUGGACACUACAAGUUUCCACUCAUGUUAUGUUUCGGUUUUAUUCUCGUCUGUGGAGUUUAGAUUAAUCCCUCACUGUGACACUUCAGAGAAAGGAACAAGAGGAUUGAGUGCUAGAAUCUUCUCAUUUACUGUAUAAAUUUCUGUUGAUCCUACAGACCUCAAACUGUAAUUUUGACAUAAAUUUCACCCCAAAGAGUGGAUUUCUCAACAGUGCUAAAUUUUCCCUUCCCUUUGCUACAAAGCACUGUAGCCAGACAGAACGCCAGAAAUUUUAAAGAAUUCAUAAUCCAGUUGGGGAAAUGGAGCGUAAUUACAUAAGAGAUAAAUAACAAUUUACAAAACAUUAUACAGUAGAACAUGAUGAGUUGGUAAAUAUUUGCUUUGUACUCAGAAAGGUUUCAUGGAAUUGGAGCAUUUGCCUUGAGCCUCAAGUAAUAGAUUUUCAAAUUAAGGAAAAAGAACUAAAGGAUGAGAAACACUAGAAAAGUACAAGGCACUUUCUAGGGCAGUGAGUAGACCAGAUUCGUUGGGAAAGAUAUAAUGUGGGUAAGAAGUAGGGGAGGAGGUUGAAAAGAGUUGGAGUAAGGUUUAUGAAGGAGUUGCACAUUUUUAUGUACCAAACCUCUGAAAAAAAAAAUUUUUUUUUUUUUUUUUUUUUUUUGAAAUGGAGUCUUGCUCUGUCACCCAGGCUGGAGUGCAGUAGCGUGAUCUCAGCUCACUGCAACCUCCACCUCCCAGGUUCAAGGAAUUCUCCUGCCUCAGUCUCCUGAGUAGCUAGGAUUACAGGCGUGCACCACCACACCCGGCUAAUUUUUGUACUUUUAGUAGAGAUGGGGUUUCAACAUGUUGGCCAGGCUGGUCUCGAACUCUUGACCUCAUGAUCUGCCCACCUCAGCCUCCCAAAGUGCUGGGAUUACAGAUGUGAACCACUGUGCCUGGCCCCUCUGAAUAUCUUAAAAGCAUUUAUUAUCUCUUUUUCAUCGUCUUUUCUCCUUGUUCUGCUUUCUCACACAGACUCGAAAUACACAGGUUAAACAUGCAUUUAAAAUACCAUUGAUAACCACAUUUCCCUCUUUUAUAACAUAACAAAUGUGAUAUUAGGUUGAGUUAUGGGAAAAAGAAAAACAAGCAUGAGAUAAGGAAAACAAAAAAAUAAGUGAAGGACAAUUUGAAUAGAGAACUAAGGAGCAUAUCAAGUGGUAAAAUAGACUUAAGAAACCUGAAUUCCCGUUUUACAACAACAUAUAUGUCAAACAUAAAAAUUCAACUUCUAUUUACAAAUCUUCUGUCUACACUCAAUUUCGUUGAGACUUUUUUAAACAGAAGGUUUAAUUUCCAGUAGCAAAGUGAACUAGCAGGAGAAUAGCAGAUGAGAUACAAGUAGCCCCUGAAUCAUCAAACAGAUGUAAUUAUCAAAUAGGACCAUACAACCUUAUGUAAAAUGCAGCCCUCCACUUGUACAACGCAGACACUAAUUUAUUCCAGUCCAUUUCUUUGAGAGAGGAAGAUCCAAUAAUUUGAUGAGCAGUUUCUUUAGUAUUCAGCUAUAACAUGCCCCCAAAAUUUUACAUAAAAUGAAGUCAAAACAAUAAAAAUAAACAUAAAUAAAAAUAUGUAGCGAAGAAAAACUAUUUCUUGUCCUAAUCCUCAUGUAUUUGCAUAGCAUUGGGUGUCAACUCUGUCUUUCUAAAUUUAAUAGAAUCUAUUUUCUAGUUACCAUUAUUCAAAGUGAGAGUUUCUACAAAUCAGGAAUCUAUAUGACUGCCCAUAUACAACAGAAAUGAAAGAAAAAUGCACAAAAAUAUAUAAUGGCCUAUAAUAACAGAGAAAUGAUCAUUCUAUUUUUUAGAUGAUGAUGAUGAUGAUUAUUAUUAUUUGUUGAGACAGGGUCUCAUUCUGUUGCUCAGGCCGCAGUGCAGUGGCAGGAUCAUAGCUCACUGCAGCCUUGACCUCCUGGGCUAAAGCGAUCCUCCUAUACCUGAGAUUCCCUAACAGCUGGGACUACAUGAAAACACUAUCAUACCAGGGUAAUUUUUGUAUUUUUUGUAGGAAUCGGGUUUCACCAUGUUGUCCAAGCUGGUCUCAAACUCCUGGACUCAAGUUAUCCUCCUGCCUCAGCCUCCCAAAUUGUUGGAAUUACAGGCGUGAGCCACUUCUCCUAGCCCUUAUUUUUUAGAUUAUUAAAUACAUAUAAGACUAGUCUGUAAUGGAAUAAUUAUCAGUAAAGAACUAGUGGAAUAAAAGAUAAAACAGGAUCUCACUGCACAUAGCCCUUUGCUCUGUGACACAACUAGGGUCUUAAUUCUCCUUUUAUUUUCUUCUUUUUAUUUUAUUUCCUAGAGAGAGGUUCCUGAUGCUUGUAGUACUGUUGCAUAAUAUUUUCUUAAUGAAAAAAAGGUUGCUGUGAGGAUGAAAGUUCCUCAGGUGGCUGAAUAUUCAAAGUUACAUCCAAAAACAAAGAUGAGCCCUCUUUCUGUUUGAAGUGUUGGUCUUAUAAAGAAGUCAAAGGUUAUUCACAGUUCAGUGAAGUCCAAAAAUCAAACAUAAUGGACUUUCUACUGUACAAAGACAGAGAUGUAUGCAGGACUGAAAUGCUCGUCCUUGAACUGAAAGAACAGCAUUUCUGUGCCCUGAGAAAUCUCUGAAAGAAUUAAAGAAAAAUGCAUAGAGAUGAAGAGAAUGUGUCAAGGGGGUAAGGGAAAUUCCUAAAAAUAUAGUACAGAAA